rnacentral:lncRNA from 1 species
CUUUAUUAAAUAACUAAACAUAAUCUUAACAACUAUAUCUAGUAGUCUAAGACUGCCUCCUUACUCAAGACUCUAGAUUCAAGCCAAGGAUUAUCUUUUUUAAAAAAUAAAUGUUUUCCAUGGUUACAUGACUCAUGUUCUCUUCCUUCCCUCUACCCUCCCAGAGUCCACCAGAAAUUCCACUGGGUUAUACAUAUAUUAUCACUCACAACCCAUUUCCAUAUUAUUCAUUUUUGUAACAGAGUAAAUCUUUAAAAACCAAAAAAGCCUUGCACAGAGAGGAGCUUUUGGAAUGUUAUGGAGGGAAACUUGACAGACAAGAGUGGCAGUUGGAAGGAAUAGCAAGGAACUCUGGGAUACAACUGAAGGGGGGAAGUUCCUUUCCUGAACCCAGAAGCUGAUUCCCUGCCCCAGGAUUUGAAUCCUUGAAUACCUGAAGAUUUCCCAACCUUUCCCUUGAACCUCGAAGAGCUGGGAUUGUUACCUGUUUCUCCUGGAACCAACUAAUGAGGCUGGCUGAACAUUUUACAGUGGCCUGAGGGUCUGGGUUCUGAAAGCCUGCUGAGGCAGCCUGAAGCACAAUUUACUCUCUGUAACAGUGGAAGAAAGACUUGGCAACCAUUCAUUUAGAUGUUUAAUAUUUACGUCAUCCUGACAUCCAGCCCACUGUUAAGUAGCAACAAGCUCAAAUCAGCAGCAGUCGGAUCUGUGGAUUCAUAUAAAUUCAUCACUCAUAAACUCUUGUUAUUUUCUGGCCUCUCUGACUGUGUUCCACCUACUCCUGAGAAGGUACGUUUGUGGACAGUCACCACCAAGAAAAUAGAACCAAAGGGCUCCAAUCUGAUAGCUCAGAGGAGUAAUUUAAAGGGAGAAGGGAUUAUGUUUUAUGUAUAAUCAAAUGAAACAGCAAUAGUUUAGUAAUGAUCAAAAUGUUAAAACUUAGUUUUAAUUCAAUGUAGCUAGUCUGGAGCUAAGAAGUUCUAUAAUUAGAACAAUUUAAUAGACCCGUUUCUUUUACCUAUGAAUUAAAGGAAUGCUUAUGUUUUUAAAAAAUAGAUUGCUUUACAAGUGCAUCUUUUAAGGCUAUUUACUCUUUUGUGAAUGUUUGCUUAUUAAAAUAUGUAAGAUUCUUGGG